GGAAAUCUCUGUCAUCUUCAUCAUUGGGUAGGAUGUCGUCGACAGAUAGAUCCACUCCUUUGCAUUGUGGAAUGCCGGCAGUGCUGUAAUAUUCGAGUGGUGGUAGUUUGGAAACUUUGAAAGCUAAGUGACUUGUAAAGUUCCAGGCUUCUGCAUGUCUUGCAAAUCUCUCAUGUCUCAACUGUUUGUUAAUGUUUAUGUUGUCAUAGGCAACAAUCCAAUGACCACGUUGGAGCUCUCUUCUUUUUUCUAUUGCCCUGGCUGCAUUUUCUACGUAUCUUAUAGUCUAACUCAAUCAACAUCAAGCUCCGUAAAAGUUGGAAACUCUUUACAUGGUCACUAUUUAUUUUUGCAAGUACAGCAAUGGCAGUCAGACUGUGUAUGUCUUUUAAAUUGGUGACUGUUCUUGUGAAAUCUCUACUGCCACCUAUAGUUGACAACAGCAACGUGGUGUUUGGUGCAUACUGCAACAAUUGGUCAUACAGUUGACUGAAGGUGAAGUCAGACAAAGUAUUUGGAUCUGAUUCUUCAAUUUAACCAAUGGUCAGUGCUCCUACGACUUGCUGCAGGUGAAGAUCCAAGUCUUGCUUGAUAUGUCUUUCAUGUUUUAAUUCAUAUUCCAAGUCUGCUAUCAGUUCAGUUGUUGGUGACAGAUGAGGACGCUUGGCGGUAUGGUCGGUCUUAUUUCUAAUGCCACAAUACAUGUACGAUCGGCUUCCUUGAACUCUGAAAUUUUUCGGUGUACUUUAUUUGCUGAGCCAAAGGCAACUUGUAUGAGUUUUCAAUAUCGCUGGAAGAUAUUGCAGCCUCUCCAGCAGACUCUAGGGCAACGUUCAUGCAGUCAAAAACAUCUUUUGUCUGCACCCUGUCUGACUCAGUUCCAAGCUCAAAAUUCUCGUGAAGCCUACAACAGUGUCAACUGUUAGUUUGGCUACAAUAGUUGAGCAGAGGAUUGUGUAUAUCACAGAGUAUUUGCCUCUUACAGCUUGACAUAACGUGAAUUGACUUCAUCAGAGGAAUCUGUCGAUGAAUGUUCCAUAGCCAUGGCAGGACAACAGAGACACUGGGCAGUGAGAGCUGAAUAGACAGACUAAAGUAUACACUGUAGUUGGUAACCAACAGAAGUGAGCCAGCACUUCAAUACACUUGCUUAUAUCUAUAUCCUUAAACGGAUACGUUCAGUUUCUAGGAAUUGUUAGUAGUUACUGUAUAGUAGUUGCUAGAGUACUGGGAAAUCAUGAUCUGAAAUGAUCUCAAAUAUGAUGUCAUUGUCACUGACAUUGUGCCAUCCGGUACAGCGGUUUCCAAUAACUGAUUAGGAAUGCACACGUUAU